rnacentral:rRNA from 1 species
GAUGAACGCUGGCGGCGUGCCUAAUACAUGCAAGUCGAACGAGGUGCUUGAGUAGCAAUACAAGAGUAUCCUAGUGGCGAACGGGUGAGUAACGCGUGGAUGACCUGCCCCAAAGUGUGGGAUAACAGUCCGAAAGGAUUGCUAAUACCUCAUGUGGUUAUCGGAUUUAGAAACUGAUAACUAAAGCAGCAAUGCGCUUUGGGGAGGGAUCUGCGUCCCAUCAGCUAGUUGGUGAGGUAACGGCUCACCAAGGCGACGACGGGUAGGGGACCUGAGAGGGUGGCCCCCCACAAUGGAACUGAAACACGGUCCAUACACCUACGGGUGGCAGCAGUAGGGAAUAUUGCUCAAUGGGCGAAAGCCUGAAGCAGCAACGCCGCGUGUGCGAUGAAGGCCUUGGUCGUAAGCACUUUCUAAGAGAUGAGAAAGGACAGUAUCUUAGGAAUAAGUCUCGGCUAACUACGUGCCAGCAGCCGCGGUAAAGUCUAG